rnacentral:rRNA from 1 species
UACGAAGGGGGCUAGCGUUGCUCGGAAUCACUGGGCGUAAAGGGUGCGUAGGCGGGUCUUUUAAGUCAGGGGUGAAAUCCUGGAGCUCAACUCCAGAACUGCCUUUGAUACUGAGGAUCUUGAGUUCGGGAGAGGUGAGUGGAACUGCGAGUGUAGAGGUGAAAUUCGUAGAUAUUGGGAAGAACACCGGUGGCGAAGGCGGCGACCUGGUCCAAGACUGACGCUGAGGCGCGAAAGCGUGGGGAGCGAAACGGG